AAUUUCCUGCGAAAACUCGACGUUUACCACUUUCCGAUUUUUUUUUAAUCCUAUUACCAAAUGAUUACAUGAAAUCUUAAGCUAUUGGUUCAUGGUUUGAUCAGCGAAAUAAAAAAACAGCAGAGAUUUCUUUGAAGUACCUGUAUGGAGAUCAACCCAGAUACAGGAAGGCAGUUUGUGAUGUUGCUUCAUUCAGGAAAAGGAAUUCUAUAGCAGAUCAUUUGUUACCAAUCUGAAAUAGGCUUUUUCUUACAAAGCAAACAGAACAUAUUAUUGUUGAAGAGCAAAACAUCUUAAUUGACCGUUGUCUGCUGGCAUGUAACUUUCUCUGUAUCUGAACAUUCAAGCAGAAAUCUUUGAUGACUCGCUUUCUGAUCCAGGAUUUCAAAAUGCCAACGCAGACAUAUGAACUGACAUUGUAUACAAUGCUGUGUAUUUCGGCAGUUGUUUUCGUAUUUUUAGUGGGAGCAGUAACUUUGAUUCUCAAAUGUUCAAGACUGGUUCAUUCUGCAUUUCUGUAUUUCAUCAGAAGUUUGAAUGGUUCUAAAGCUCAGGAUGAUCAACAUCACGAAGGAAAAGUCAACUAGUUGAAGUUGACCAGAUCUGAAUUUGUAUCAAGUGCAAUUUUAUGUUAAGGUCAAGAUCUAGUAAAUGAAAGGUGCCGACAGGUUUAUGAAAUUCAAGAUAUAAAUUCUUUUAAUGAUGCUUCAUAACAAAAUCUUUGUUUCAUUGGGUGUACGGGGGCUUAAAGUUUUGGUAAAUGCAAUAAAAAAUCUUGUUUUAAACAACCAUUUUCUAUGAAGUAUGAAGGAUAAAAGCAACAUAUCUCGGAGUUCUGUCAAUUUUUGACUAAUGAAAUAUAUCUAGAAUGCCUACAGUCUCUCCAAAAAUAGCAUUAAACAAGCUCUUGACCUCCUCUUUAAAAUGAUGUCAAAUUGAAUAUAGGUACCGGGAUUACUUUUCCCGUGAUUAAAUAUCGAAUGUCAAAAUAUUGUUUUAUUUUCUACAUAACUACUUUAAAGCUGUAAAAUACGGGAAAAGAUUCAUCAAAUCAAUUAUGACGUCAUAAUGGUUCCAGCACCAAAAAGAUACUCUGGAAUCAUUUACUAGAUCUUGACCUUAAAACUAUUUGUGUUCAUUUCAAUGGUUUACCAAUGUUUGUUUUUAUUUCAUUGGUUUACCAUUGUUUGUGUUCAUUAUUUUUGUUAUCCUUUAGAGAAUUAAAAAAAAGUCCUG
rnacentral:sRNA from 1 species